AAUAAGAGAAUGACAAAGUAUAUUUUCCCUUCUGAUUUUCGACUUUUUCCUCCUAAAAAUUUAAAUCCAAUUAAAAAUACUAAAAAUCAAGAGGGAAAAUAUGAUUUGUCAUUCGCUUAUU
rnacentral:pre_miRNA from 1 species